rfam:Baudoinia panamericana TAMH 10762 unplaced genomic scaffold BATCOscaffold_14, whole genome shotgun sequence.
ACAGCAUGACGCAGUGGCUUAGCGUGUCGUUCUUAUAUCUUUCCCUUGGGACUGAUAUGGCUUCUGCCUUUCAUGAGGUUAUGCGAAAGUCGCGAGUUCGAAUCUCGCUGGGUGUA